rnacentral:rRNA from 1 species
AGUGGGUGUAACGUACCUACUAGCCUACGACGGGUACGGGUUGUGAGAGCAAGAGCCCGGAGAUGGAUUCUGAGACACGAAUCCAGGCCCUACGGGGUGCAGCAGGCGCGAAAACCUUACAAUGCGGGAAACCGUGAUAAGGGAAUCUCGAGUGCCAGCAUAUAAUGUUGGCUGUCCAGAUGCCUAAAAAGCAUCUGUUAGCAAGGGCCGGGCAAGACCGGUGCCAGCCGCCGCGGUAACACCGGCGGCCCGAGUGGUAACCGUUUUUAUUGGGUCUAAAGGGUCUGUAGCCGGCCAUGUAAGUCCCUUGGGAAAUCUGGCAGCUUAACUGUCAGGCUGCUAGGGGAUACUGCUUGGCUUGGGACCGGGAGAGGUGAGAGGUACCUCGAGGGUAGGGGUGAAAUCUUGUGAUCCUCGGGGGACCACCAGUGGCGAAGGCGUCUCACCAGAACGGGUCCGACGGUAAGGGACGAAAGCUAGGGGCACGAACCGGAUUAGAU